rnacentral:tRNA from 1 species
GGGGGUAUAACUCAGUGGUAGAGUUCUAGUUUACAUGAGGGCCUGGGUUCAAGCCCCAGCAUUGCCA